rnacentral:rRNA from 1 species
CAGUCGCCGCGGGAAUACGUAGGUGGCAAGCGUUGUCCGGAAUUAUUGGGCGUAAAGGGCUCGCAGGCGGUUUCUUAAGUCUGAUGUGAAAGCCCCCGGCUCAACCGGGGAGGGUCAUUGGAAACUGGGAAACUUGAGUGCAGAAGAGGAGAGUGGAAUUCCACGUGUAGCGGUGAAAUGCGUAGAGAUGUGGAGGAAUACCAGUGGCGAAGGCGACUCUCUGGUCUGUAACUGACGCUGAGGAGCGAAAGCGUGGGGAGCGAACGGGAUUAGAUACCCGCGUAGUCCCUGUCUCUUAUAC